rnacentral:rRNA from 1 species
UACGUAGGGGGCAAGCGUUGUCCGGAAUCAUUGGGCGUAAAGCGCGUGUAGGCGGCCCGGUAAGUCCGCUGUGAAAGUCGGGGGCUCAACCCUCGAAUGCCGGUGGAUACUGUCGGGCUAGAGUGCGGAAGAGGCGAGUGGAAUUCCUGGUGUAGCGGUGAAAUGCGCAGAUAUCAGGAGGAACACCAAUGGCGAAGGCAGCUCGCUGGGACGGUACUGACGCUGAGGCGCGAAAGCGUGGGGAGCAAACAGG